AGCUGCCCAGCAGAAAAGGGUCAACAGCUGAACAUGAGCCAGCAGAAUGCCCAGGUGGCCAAGGAGGCCAAUGGCAUCGUGGCCUGCAUCAGAAAUAGUGUGGCCAGCAGAACUAGGGCAGGGAUUGUACCCCGUACUCGGCAGUGGUGAGGCCUCACCUUGAAGCACUCAGUUCUGGGCCCCUCAAUGCAAGAAGGAUAUUGGGUACCGGAGCGUGUCCAAAGGAGGGCAGUGGAGCUGGUGAAGGAAAUAAGUUAUAUGAGGAGCACCUGAGGGAGCUGGGGUUGUUUAGCCUGAAGAAAAAGGUGGACCUUAUCACUGUCUUACAGCUUCCUGAAAGGGAUCUGUAGCCAAGUGGGGACUGGCUUCUUGUCCCAGGCAACAAGUGACAAGAGACGAGGACAUAGCCUCAAGCCGCGCAAGGGAGGUCCAGACUGGAAAUCGGGAAGAAUUUUUUCACUGAAAGGGUUGUUAAGCAUUGCAAUGGGCUUCCCAAGGAGGUGGUGGAGCUACCAUCCCUGGCAGUGUUCAAGAAACAACUUGACAUGGAACUUCACAGAAAUAUAGUCUAUGCUGAGUUGGAAGGAACUCACAAGAAUCACCCAGUCCAACUCAGCCCUGCACAGGACACCCCAAGGAUCACACCCUGUGCCUCAGAGCAUUGUCCAAAUACUUCUUGAACUCUGCCAGGCUGGUGCUGUGACCACUUUCCUGGGGAGCCUGUUCCAGUGCCCAACCACCCUCUGGGUGAAGAAGCUUUUUCUAAUAUCCAGCAUAAACCUCCCUGACACAGCUUCAGGCCACACACCUUCCUCUUUUGCCUUAUUUCCAAGAUUCCUGUUCAGCCAAGCCAGGCUUCUUCCUUGCCUGCUUGACUUCUGACAUUUGGGAAUUGCCUGUUCCUUAAGAGGUGAUGUUUGAAAAGUGAUCAGCACUGAUGGACUCCAGCACCUGCAAAAAAAAAUUUCCCAGGCAACGUUACUGACUAAUUCCUUGAGCAUCCUGAAAUCUGCUCCCCUCAUGUCCAGAGUAUAGGUUUUGCUGUCAUUUUUCCUCCUGUCAACAGGGAUUUUAAACUCAAUUACUUCACAGUUGCUGUGGCCAAGACAGCCACCAAUCUCCACUUCACUCUGUUGUGAUACGGUUUAGUUGAUAUGCUGGUGUUCAACCAAAAGUUAGACACAAUACUCUUGGAGGCUUUGUCCAACCUUAAUGAUUCUGUUAUUCUAACAGAAAAUGAAUGGAAGGAAGAACUGAAGAAUCUGUUCAGAAAUCAGUACAGCGACAUAUGAAUAAUGUUUGUGGAGUUCAAGGACCUUCUCUAAGUAGUCCAGGAAAAAACAAACAAACAAACAAA